AGUCAUGUCCAGUUCUGUAAACAAAUUCUCAACUGCACCAGAAGGCCUGACAGUUAAGAGAACCCAGUGAAGAAACCUUUUGCAGAGAGAGAAAAGAACCCUUUUGAAUGUGAUCAAUCACGCUGAUUUAUUUGGAUGAUUUCUCUUCUGGAUUUCCUUAAACCAGGGAAAACCCAGGGACAGCAAUUGCUAUAAUUGAUGCAAACGAUCCCAGCCACACUCCCUGAUCCUGGUUCUGAAACUCAGAGAUGCAGCUGACCAGACUGAUGUGGCCAGCCUCACUCUGAAGGAUCCUGCAGCAGACAAAUUGCUGGAAUGUGUUCAGACGGAAUCCAGCUGCUACAACCGUCACACAAACUUCCUGAAAUAGAGGACAAAAGGUAGCAACUUGUCGCUUCUUGAGCCAAGAGAUUUAGGACAUGAGACCAAAUGAGAGAGAUUAAAAUAAAAAACGCAAGAA
ensembl:lncRNA novel transcript